rnacentral:tRNA from 1 species
GGCCGGUGGUCUAGCGGUUAGAACGCUGGCCUUGUAAUCCUGGGGUCUCGGGUUCGAUUCCCGGCGGUGCCC